rnacentral:rRNA from 1 species
GACGAACGCUGGCGGCGUGCUUAACACAUGCAAGUCGAACGGAAAGGCCCUGCUUUUGUGGGGUGCUCGAGUGGCGAACGGGUGAGUAACACGUGAGUAACCUGCCCUUGACUUUGGGAUAACUUCAGGAAACUGGGGCUAAUACCGGAGAGGAGCUCCUGCUGCAUGGGGGGGGUUGGAAAGUUUCGGCGGUUGGGGAUGGACUCGCGGCUUAUCAGCUUGUUGGUGGGGUAGUGGCUUACCAAGGCUUUGACGGGUAGCCGGCCUGGGAGGGUGACCGGCCACCUUGGGCCUGCGAUACGGCCCAGACUCCUACGGGAGGCAGAAGUGGGGAAUAUUGCACAAUGGGCGGAAGCCUGAUGCAGCAACGCCGCGUGCGGGAUGACGGCCUUCGGGUUGUAAACCGCUUUCGCCUGUGCCGAAGCGUGAGUGACGGUAAUGGGUAAAGAAGCACCGGCUAACUACGUG